GACGAACGCUGGCGGCGUGCCUAAUACAUGCAAGUAGAACGCUGAAGGAGGAGCUUGCUUCUCUGGAUGAGUUGCGAACGGGUGAGUAACGCGUAGGUAACCUGCCUGGUAGCGGGGGAUAACUAUUGGAAACGAUAGCUAAUACCGCAUAAGAGUAGAUGUUGCAUGACAUUUGCUUAAAAGGUGCAAUUGCAUCACUACCAGAUGGACCUGCGUUGUAUUAGCUAGUUGGUGGGGUAACGGCUCACCAAGGCGACGAUACAUAGCCGACCUGAGAGGGUGAUCGGCCACACUGGGACUGAGACACGGCCCAGACUCCUACGGGAGGCAGCAGUAGGGAAUCUUCGGCAAUGGACGGAAGUCUGACCGAGCAACGCCGCGUGAGUGAGGAAGGUUUUCGGAUCGUAAAGCUCUGUUGUAAGAGAAGAACGAGUGUGAGAGUGGAAAGUUCACACUGUGACGGUAUCUUACCAGAAAGGGACGGCUAACUACGUG
rnacentral:rRNA from 1 species